rnacentral:rRNA from 1 species
CGCUGGCGGCAGGCUUAACACAUGCAAGUCGAGCGCCUCGCAAGAGGAGCGGCAGACGGGUGAGUAACGCGUGGGAAUCUACCGUGCCCUACGGAAUAGCUCCGGGAAACUGGAAUUAAUACCGUAUACGCCCUUCGGGGGAAAGAUUUAUCGGGGUAUGAUGAGCCCGCGUUGGAUUAGCUAGUUGGUGGGGUAAAGGCCUACCAAGGCGACGAUCCAUAGCUGGUCUGAGAGGAUGAUCAGCCACAUUGGGACUGAGACACGGCCCAAACUCCUACGGGAGGCAGCAGUGGGGAAUAUUGGACAAUGGGCGCAAGCCUGAUCCAGCCAUGCCGCGUGAGUGAUGAAGGCCCUAGGGUUGUAAAGCUCUUUCACCGGUGAAGAUAAUGACGGUAACCGGAGAAGAAGCCCCGGCU